rnacentral:rRNA from 1 species
GACAGAGGGUGCAAACGUUGUUCGGAAUUACUGGGCGUAAAGCGCGUGUAGGCGGCCAUCUAAGUCGGGUGUGAAAUCCCACGGCUCAACCGUGGAAGUGCACUCGAAACUGGAUGGCUAGAGUCCUGGAGAGGAAGGUGGAAUGCUUGGUGUAGAGGUGAAAUUCGUAGAUAUCAAGCGGAACACCGGUGGCGAAGGCGGCCUUCUGGACAGUGACUGACGCUGAGACGCGAAAGCGUGGGGAGCAAACAGG